rnacentral:rRNA from 1 species
CCUACGGGGGGCUGCAGUGGGGAAUUUUGGACAAUGGGGGCAACCCUGAUCCAGCCAUGCCGCGUGAGUGAAGAAGGCCUUCGGGUUGUAAAGCUCUUUCGGCCGGGAAGAAAUCGCUCAAGCUAAUACCUUGGGUGGAUGACGGUACCGGAAGAAGAAGCACCGGCUAAAUACGUGCCCGCAGCCGCGGUCAUACGUAGGGUGCGAGCGUUAAUCGGAAUUACUGGGCCGAAGGCAUGCGCAGGAGGCGGAAUCCCCGGGCUUAACCUGGGAACUGCGUUUGUGACUGUGGUGCUCGAGUGCGGCAGAGGGGAGUGGAAUUCCACGUGUAGCAGUGAAAUGCGUAGAGAUGUGGAGGAACACCGAUGGCGAAGGCAGCCCCCUGGGUCGACACUGACGCUCAUGCACGAAAGCGUGGGGAGCAAACAGGAUUAGAUACCCGAGUAGUC